rnacentral:rRNA from 1 species
GAUCAUGGCUCGAGAACGAACGCUGGCGGCGCGUUUAAGCAUGCAAGUCGAGCGGCAAGGGCCUUCGGGCCCCUAGAGCGGCGGACGGGUGAGUAACACGUGGACAAUCUGCCCCCCGGCCCGGGAUAGCCCAGGGAAACCUGGAUUAGUACCGGAUGAGACGGGACCCGCGAUGGCGGGACCCGGGAAAGGCGCUGCGGCGCCGCCGGGGGAUGAGUCUGCGUCCCAUUAGCUAGACGGCGGGGUAACGGCCCACCGUGGCGACGAUGGGUAGCCGGCCUGAGAGGGUGGACGGCCACAUUGGAACUGAGACACGGUCCAGACUCCUACGGGAGGCAGCAGCUAAGAAUCUUCCGCAAUGGGCGAAAGCCUGACGGAGCGACGCCGCCGUGAACGAAGAAGGCCGUGAGGUUGUAAAGUUCUUUUCGGGAGGGGGAACAACCGUGGCAGGGAAUGGCCGCGGGAUGACGUGAAUCCCGGAAUAAGCCCCGGCUAACUACGUGCCAGCAGCUGC